UACGUAGGUGGCAAGCGUUGUCCGGAUUUACUGGGCGUAAAGAGCGCGCAGGCGGUCGUUCAAGUCGCGUGUGAAAGCCCCCGGCUCAACUGGGGAGGGUCACGCGAUACUGAUCGACUGGAAGGCAGGAGAGGGUAGUGGAAUUCCGGGUGGAGUGGUGAAAUGCGUAGAGAUCCGGAGGAACACCAGAGGCGAAGGCGGCCUACUGGGCUGCACCUGACGCUGAGCCGCGAAAGCCAGGGGAGCGAACGGG
rnacentral:rRNA from 1 species